AUGGUAUCGGAUAUCGACACGAGGAAUGACCGACCGUCCGGCCGCCGGGAUUUUCGCCGGAAAACUUUUCCGGCGACUUUUCCGGCGAUCGGUUUUGUUGCCUUUUUCCGAGUUUUCUCAGCAGUUCUCGGACAAAAACUGCUGAAUCGUCGAGGAGAAUGG